GAAGUGGACGAUUUUAUAACACUAUGUAACAAGGUUUUUGUCCCUGGGUUGUAAUUGUUAUUUCCUAGUCAGUUAGGUCCCAAAAGUAUAGAAAACAGCUAUUGUCGCAAGAUAACUUUGCUUUUGUGACCAUGGCAGCGCUUAUCUGCGUUUAUUUUUAUGCUUGUUUGUUGAAAACUGAUACACGAGCGCAUACAACUUGUUUUCUCUACAUUUGUGUGUGUUAAAACUAGUGUUGGGCAGUAUCGAUUCCAAAAGUACUCAGUACUCGAUGCUGAAAAGUAUCGACAGUACC